UGGAGAGGUUCAGAGAUGGUGACCCCCUGAAAAGAAGGUACGAAUGUGUGUCAGUGCUUCUACAGGCUCCAGAGUACCUCUGAGAGUUGGGCAUCAGAAAGAGAAAAAGAAGCUGGAACAGAAGGCCAGAAAUCCCUUCAUUUAUACAUCUCCAGGUCCUGCUAUCCUCUUUUCUUUCUUGAUUCAAGUAGUUGGGGAAAGGGGGUGAUCAACACAGUUAAUUAGGGACGCUCCUUAAAACGCAGCAAUGAAGUAUGAAAUGUGAUAUUCACACAAGCUAUGUUGUCAUUGUAAAAAAGGGAAAGGCAAAUGGGAACGAGGAGAAAUCUAAACUUCUUGCAUCCUACUUUUCCACCACUGCUCCAGCCUGCUCCAUGUCGCCAUCUUGCAAAGGUCAGAGACUUUUGGAAGAUGUGGACAUAUUUAAAGUCCAUGGGCUGGAUAAAGUAUGUAGGUCCCCGAGGGUACUGAGGCUAGAUGGACUCUGGGAGCAGUUCCACAUCUCAGUUCCUUAUACAGAUUAUUGGCAUAUGCAGGACCUGAAGCAGUCACUUUGUUGGUUGCAAUCUAUAUAAAUGGUAGGUAGGAUUCAGUCUCAGGACAACACUGUCUGGGUCUGACAAAGGACAAGUCUCAGUGCCCUCUUCUCAUGUUCACCAAAUGAACUUUAGAACCCCAGUCCUGGCGAAGACAAGUGUAUCUAUCUCUUCAUCAUGAUGGAAGUUUUUUUUUUUUUUUUUUUGAUCAUUUUUCUUUCUUUGAUCAUUUUAGUUUUACAUUGGGUAACUGUGUUUUCUGUCACUAGUCAGACCUCAUGUCCUUUACUUUUUCAUGUUGCUUCUUUCUCUCUCCCUUCAUCACUUUACAAGUAGUCUAUUUGUAGUAACUGUUGACUUUUCAAUUUAUCCUAUCUUACAAUCCAUGAUCAGUGCUAUUCUUUUCUAUCAUCACAGGCUGCACUAUAAACCUGUAUUGGUUUCUAUUCAUGAGUUUGCUGUUUUAUGUUAUAUGGGCACUGCUUUUGUUUACCCUCGGAGUCGUACUGGUAAUGGACCUCUCAAAGGAAGACUUAAAUGGAAACUUCUAGUUUCUUUGUAAAGUCAGUUCUGUCAAACAAUAUUCUGCUGGGGCACACAGGUGAAAGGAUGUCUUGAUAAAGCAGACAGGGGGAAGAAGGUAUUCCUGAAACAGGCACAGGUGGAAGGAUGUUUUGAUAAAGCAGACAUGUGAAAGGAUACGUGAUGAAUGAACAUAAAUAUGACCCCACAGACAGUGGGAGAGAGCACAGAGAAUGGGUCUGAUUUGCUCUGCCUUGCUAUUUCUCACUAACAACAUGCAUGUAUUUGUUUACCUCACAUGGCGCUGUUGAGCUCAACUUGUGAUAAUGCCACCAUUGAGAGAAACUCACUCAAGAACUUCUCGCAGGGUUCCUGCAGCAGCUUGCUGCUUAAGCAGCCAUGCCUCAGGCUAGUGAUUGGACCUCGGAGUUUCUUCAGGAUUGAACUACUGGUUCAUGCCUGAUGUCUGCCAGCUGAAAGGACUCGAUUGUCGCUGUUGAGUCAUAUUUGGUGUUUGCUGCAGGAGGACUGAAUUGCUGUCAAUGAAGAUGGAGUUCACCCUCAAAGAAUUAUUGCUAACCGGGUCAAUGUCCCUCAUAUCCUCAUAACUGCACUUCCACUGCCAAUGACAUUCAUCACUCACUCGUGUUUGCAUCUCAACACUGAAAGUCCAGUUCCAUUAAAACUAAAUGUAAAGAAUUCUCCUGCCACACACAUUUCCUGUACUAUUAAUGACAGGAGCCUAUGAUGGCUGUCUUCUGAGAGGCUUCACCCAGCAUCUGACUCAGACAGAGUCAGAUACCCACAGCUAAAUAGUAGGUGAAGCUUGGGGACUCUUAAGGGAGAAGAGGAGGAAGGAUUCCAUCCCUGAAAGUGGAUUGAAACUCCACAGGAAGACCAACAGAGUAAACUAAUCUGGACCUUGGGACUUUCAGAGUCUGAACCACCAA